AGCGAACGCUGGCGGCAGGCCUAACACAUGCAAGUCGAACGGACCCUUCGGGGUUAGUGGCGGACGGGUGAGUAACACGUGGGAACGUGCCUUUAGGUUCGGAAUAGCUCCUGGAAACGGGUGGUAAUGCCGAAUGUGCCCUUCGGGGGAAAGAUUUAUCGCCUUUAGAGCGGCCCGCGUCUGAUUAGCUAGUUGGUGGGGUAAUGGCCCACCAAGGCUACGAUCAGUAGCUGGUCUGAGAGGAUGACCAGCCACAUUGGGACUGAGACACGGCCCAAACUCCUACGGGAGGCAGCAGUGGGGAAUCUUGCGCAAUGGGCGAAAGCCUGACGCAGCCAUGCCGCGUGUAUGAUGAAGGUCUUAGGAUUGUAAAAUACUUUCUACCGGUGAAGAUAAUGACUGUAGCCGGAGAAGAAGCCCGGCUAACUUACGUGCCAGCAGCCGCGGUAA
rnacentral:rRNA from 1 species